rnacentral:lncRNA from 1 species
CGAACCACUCCCUCCUCUCUCCCCUUUCCCCUGAUCACCUUCACUGUCCAGACAGCACCACCAGCUAAUUAGAAACACGUUGUCCUCUUUGAUGUGUUCCGAAAAUCUCCGGUGAAGACGAACAGGUUUUUGAAGACAGAGGCACUGUGGAGGUUUGUUUCAUACAAAUUCAUUCGGUAUUGUGUUUCCAACAUCUCCUCCAUCCACUCUUUGUUAGAAUUUCUGAAAUAUUCCUCUUAGUCGAAAAUAAUUCUAGCAUUAGCUACUGAUUUAGGUUUGAUUAUGAUUUCUAAUUGUAGUGAAUUUGAUUUUAGUUGAUCCUUAAUUAUUUAUUAUUCUUCGUUGUAGCUUGUUCCGUAUUAUGCAUGAUAGAUUGAUUGAUUUUGUACUUACAUUCUCUGUAUCGUAUUAAUUACGAAUCCAGUUCCUAAUUGGCAAGGACUGAUCACUGGAAAAAUCCCCUCAAGCUCUCUUUCUCUCCAAAAUGUGAGGAGAAAUCUCUCGAGCUCUCCUCCUCGUCUCUACAACAAGUCUUAACACUCAACGUUCCUUACCUUAGGCUCAUUUUUGCUUUCCUCUCAAUUUUACAUAUUACUCUAAGGCUCUCAUAUUGUGAUGUUGUUGCAGCGGCUGGUUUUUGUCUCUCUUAUAAUUAAUUGCCAUAUCACUGGUUAGUUCUCUUAACAAUGCAUUCGAUACUUGCGUGGUAGUUUUGUAUAUCUUUAAUUUAGCAUUAGUUGGAAAGCUCGAAUUCAUUAGGUAUUCUGUGAAAUCAAACAGGUACACUUUCUCUUCGACUUAUACAGGCUCCAAUUAUAUAAAUAUUGAGGUUAUGACUGGUUGUGAAUCUGUUGUGUUUUAAUUCUGUAUUUAUUCGUCCUAUUUUCAUAACUCUUGCUUUUUGGCUAUGGAUAAUUAGGUUGUGUUAUCAUGGAUUUAGCAUGUUGCACUUUGGCUUUGGCUUAGAUUUUCACUUUCUCUUCGACUUAUAAGUACAUGCUCUAAUUAUAUAACUUUGGCUUUGGCUUAGCUUAGAUUUUCACUUUUUUUUUUCCAUUCAUUCAUUCAUGGCUUGUAAUAACUUGAAUAAAUGUUGUAACAAAAGAAGUUUGAGGUGGCUAUCAUGCUACUUUUUUUUUCAUGUCUCAUUUUCUCAUUUCACUUUUACUUAUUUUUAUUCAAGUAUUUAAAUUCAAAUUCAAUUGUUAACUAAAGUAGUUUUUAUUUUUCUUUAUCUCAUUGCUCAACUUCGCUUUUCAUAAUUUGAAUUGGAUAUGACACUUUUAUUUCUCACUAUAUAUAAGCACUAUCUCCUAACCUAUAGUUAGUGGGAAAGUAAUAGGAAUUACGAGAUUUAAUCCUCAUUUUUUUAACUAAGCCGACACAUCCCUGAGAGUACUACUUACCAAAGGAUUAUGUAUAUUUAUAUGUAAUAUUUAUGUGUUUGUAUUUAAUCAAAUAUUUCAAUUAUCCUUCAAAUACUAUUAUUAAUUUCUAAGAAUGAUCUCAAAUAAAAAAUAUUUCUAUGGUGGAGGAGAACAAUUAAUAAUAUCGUGGUAUCAUCCUUAUAAAGAAACAAACAUUUGAAGCGUCCUUAAAUUCUCUUACAAAUUGGUUUAAAUUUGAAGUACUUUUAAUGCUUACAAAUCAACUUUUAUAUUUAUGUUUUAUCUCUUUUUUUGGGUUAGAUUAGUUUACGUUCGACCUUUAUUAUUUUUUUCCGUAUCUUUUGGUGUUGGUUCUCUUUCCCCGCUUAUUUAUUUUCUUAAUUAAUUAUUGUCUUAUUAUUUAAUAUUUAUUUAUUUUAAGAAAGUUAGUUUUACAUGUCUAUAUUAUUUAAUAAUAAAUAAGUUUAACUUGUCUUGUUAUCUUAUCACUUAAAACUUGUGUUAAUUAAUAAUCACUUCGCCUAUCGCUGUUAAUUUGCUUUAAAUAAAGUUUUGUCUUUUUUUUUUUUUUAUUUCAAUGGAAACCCGCAACCGCUACUUUUGGGUGUGCACAAGUUAAAACCCUCGCUCAUAUGCAAUAGUUCACAAACAACAUAGGAGAGGUAACCCGCACUAGGCAAACCCGAUGCGAUGAGCUCGACCCAGAAGGAAAUCCUCAUGCAUUUGCUAGCAAGGGGUUUCGAACUUGAGACCUUCAACGUGGAAGUCCCAAGCUCAAAUCACUUGACCACCUCGAAGGAUUUAAAUAAAGUUUUGCCUAUUUUAUCACAUAGUUUACUUUAGAUGAUUUAUGCCUUUAGAUUGACUCAAUUUUUUAUUUUAUCGCUUAGAUAAUAAAAUGUUAGCUUGUUUACUCAUCUCAUCACAUAGACAGUAUAUCAAGUAAUUUAAGUUAACCUUUACCUAUUUUGCUCUUUCUUAUUGAAUCAAGUUUUAUAAUAUAUAUCAUUUAGUCACUCCUUUAAUUUAAUAAAAAUAGUGACCUUGUUUGCCACAUACUUUUCCACAUAAUUCACAAGAUCUGGCUGGGAUCCGCAUUUGUGGACUUCGAAAGGUGCCUAACACAUUCCUUUUGAGGUAACUUGAACCCUUCCCGAUCUUUGGGUGUGUUUGACCUUUAAAUUAAUUUUAUUUGGUAGAUUAAUUUAGAAUGAUGCUCUAAAGCGCCUUUAAUUGGUUAGGUGGUGAUUCUCUCUUUUUAAUCCUAAAAAGACUUGUCACGUUGUUGGAUCUCAUUUUGAGAAAAAUGGGAUGCGACAAAAAUCAUAAGGAUACUCAAUGAUAAAUAUCUUCGUCCAAAACUCUUCAACCCCGUACUCCAUAACCCACAUACUUGUGUGACUCCUCAGAUGAUUACAAAACAUAGAGAGAUCAUUUACCAACACACCGAGGCCUGACAUGAUAACAAAAUUUCCUUCUCAACGUCAAGGUUUCUCCAUUUCUCCCCAUCUCCCAUCAGCCAAGUCAACGAAAAUGAUGUCCUACUUUUAUUACAAAAAAUGAAUAUGCAUGGUAGAAAUAUCUGAAUGAAGCUUUCCAUUCAUAAACAAACCUGACUUCAUAAAUGGUAUCCAAUUCUGAUAAUCAUCCAAACGACUCCAAGAAUUGUUAUUUAGACUAUAUAUAAUCCCACAUCAAAACAUGAAUUGUUAUAAAGCCUAUAUCAGAUAAUACCUACUACCUUAUAAUCAUCAUGAAACUCGUCUUUUAAAAAAUCAUACAUGAAAAAGCAACCAAUUAUGGCACUCGACUAAGCUUCCCAAUUGAUGGAUUUCAUAAAAGCAAUUAUUUUCUCUCAAUAAUAAGACAAAUCAAUCCAUUAACAAAACUUGUAACCUCAAUUGAGUGAUUUUGGGAUUUGUUCGUAGGACAAUCCGAGUCAAUUGUUCAUUUAUAGAGUGCUAGAGUAAUCAUGUCAUGUACCACAUGAUCAUAAAGUAAAGAACUAACCGAACAAUCCUUAAGAUAUUAGGUGGAUUAAAUAAUAAGCCUAUGACAGGUGUAACCCUUGUUAUUAGCAGAUAUACUGAUAUGGGACUUGACAAAUUGAAAGGCAAGAGAUUAAAUGAAGCCGGGAUUUUUAAAAUCCCUUAAUUUUCAUGAGGGAUUUUACUGAUAGUUUUAAGAGGAUUUUGUAGAUGAGAUUUGCUAGCAGAAAAGGUAAUUCGAAGCUUGAAUCUUGAACUGAAGUAGAAGAAAAUGGAGCACUACUAGUGGGUUUGCUCUGCUUUGGUUGUCGAUGAGAGGCUUCAUCUCACAAAUUCUAUUUGUGUUGCAGAAAUUUGAGCUCUUCGAGAAGUCAACAAGGGUUUUGAUGUUCUUCUGUGUAAUUAGGAAAUAUUUUCAGAGAUAAUUACACAGAAGAACAUCAAAAACCUUGUCUUUUUGAAGAACUCAAAUUUUUGUAGCACAAAUGAAAUCUGAGAGAGAUGAAGCCUUCUAUCGCCAACCAAAGCAAAGCAAACACACUAGUAGUGCUCCAUUUUCGUCUACUUCAAUUCAAGAUUCAAGCUUCGAAUUACCUUUUCUGCCAGCAAAUCUCAUCAACAAAAUUCUCUUAAAACUAUCGGGAAGAUCCCUCGUGAAAUUCAAGCGUGUUUCAAAAUCAUGGCUUGAUUUAAUCUUUAGCCCUAAAUUUGUCAAGUCUCACCUCAAUAUAACUGCUAAUAGCAAGGGAUACACCUGCCAUAGGCUUAUGUUAGGGUUUAAUUCACCUAAAUAUCUUAAGGGUUGUUUCGUUAGUUCUUCACUUUAUGACAAUGUGAUGUGCGAAGAGAUCACUCUAGCACCCUAUAAAUGGAUAAUUGACUCGGAUUAUCCUACGAACAACUUCAAAAAUUACUUUAUUGAGGUUGUAGGUUCUACCAAUGAAUUGAUUUGUCUUACUAUUGAGAACAAAGACUUGUUUUUACGGAAUCUGUCAAUUGGGAAGAUAAAAAAAUACCUAGUGCUAUAACUGGGUUUCUUUUUCAAGUAUGAUUUUGGAUAUAAUGAGCUUCAUAAUGAUUAUAAGGUAGUGAGUUUUAUCUGAUAUGAGCUUUAUAACAAUUCACAUUAUGAUGUGGGAAUUAUAUAAUCUAAAUAUCAAUUCUUAGAGCCGUUUGGAUGAUUUUCAGUUUGGGAUAGUAUUCAUGAAGUGGCAUAUAUUUGUGAAUGGGAAUCUUAAUUGGGUUAUUUCUACCACACAUUCAUUUUUUGUAAUAAAAACUGAGACAUCAUUUUUGUUGAAUUGGUUGAUGGGAGAAACGGCAAAACGUUGUUGUAGAUAAGGCAAUUUUGUUUUCAUGUCGUGCCUCAAUGUGUUGGGAAAUGAUCUCUCUAUGUGUUGUAAUUAUCCAAGGAGUUACGCAGUAUGUGGGUUAUGAAGGAGUACUACGUCAAAGAAUCUUGGACAAAGAUGUUUAUCAUUAAGUAUUGUUUUGAUUUCGUGGGGUAUGAUGUUUUGUCUCCGUCCUUUUGCAUGUCAAUUGAAAGUGAAUUUAUUGUUAAGAUUGGAUCAAUUCUCAUGAUUUACAAUUCAAAUAAUGAGAUUUCCAAAGGUUCCCACUGUGAUCACCUUGGUGAAACAAAAAACUACCUCGUUUGAGUAUUUUGAUGAUUUCAUUGAAUAUAAAAUAUUGUUUCCAAGCUAAUAGCAUAUUUGAUUUGUGACCAGAAGUUCUAUGAGUUUCAGAUAUAUUUUUAGCCUUUUCAAUGCUUUGCCUUGUUUAAGCAUAAAAAUAUGUCGAUUAAAAGGUCCGCUUUUAGUUUUUGAGAUCGAAAAAUUAUUCUGGGACUUUUGAAAUUUUUAGCAUGAAUAAUAGGAUUGAUUUGGAAAGUUUGGUGCAAUUUUGAUAAGCUGAGAUCAGAUUUUUAUGACGACAAAUGAAAUAAUUUUUUAACGAACAACAAUGACUGGCUAAACGAGCACAUAAUUGAGUUUUGAUUGGAUGAAGCGAUCCCUUUAAUUAUUUAAACUCAUGAAAAAUGAAUCAAUGCAUUCCGAGGUUCUAUGAGUGAAUUAUAGUCGUUUUAGUGAAAAAUGAUAUUACUAGUGCAAUCUAACAAUACAUUAAAUUUCAGAUUGUACUUAUUUGGUAUUUUGAAUAAUUAUGGAGUUCUAGAGCUUAAAAUUAAGUUAUUUUCACAUCAUUUUCCUCUGUUUAACAAGGGGGUAAGUAUCUAAUCCUUAUUUAGGUAUCCUUCAUUAUUCCUUCGGUUGGUUUUCAUUUUUAUCCAUGAGUUGGAGAAAAAUUGAGGGGGGGGGGGGGGGGUUUUCNNNNNNNNNNNNNNNNNNNNNNNNNNNNNNNNNNNNNNNNNNNNNNNNNNNNNNNNNNNNNNNNNNNNNNNNNNNNNNNNNNNNNNNNNNNNNNNNNNNNNNNNNNNNNNNNNNNNNNNNNNNNNNNNNNNNNNNNNNNNNNNNNNNNNNNNNNNNNNNNNNNNNNNNNNNNNNNNNNNNNNNNNNNNNNNNNNNNNNNNNNNNNNNNNNNNNNNNNNNNNNNNNNNNNNNNNNNNNNNNNNNNNNNNNNNNNNNNNNNNNNNNNNNNNNNNNNNNNNNNNNNNNNNNNNNNNNNNNNNNNNNNNNNAGAAAGGGGGGGGGGGGGGGGGGGGAGUUUCACCCUAGAUCAAGAAAUCCCAAUUCUUCGAUUUGGAGGUUGAUUUGGACUUGUCUUUUUGUUGAAAUCAUAUUACUGAUUUAUCGAUUAUUUUAUCAUUUAAAAUUGAUUAUGAGUAUACAAAAUUUGGAAUUUUGUGUCUAAAGUUACAAAAUCAUAUUUAAAGGUUUUGAAGGUCGAAGGGUUAUUCAGACGGGAAGGACUUUGAUUUGAUCGUUUGAACUCCAUUUAAGGCAAGUUGAGGCUUUCUUUGACUCUUCUUAAAGUGUCUAUGUGUUAUAUGACUGCACUUGGGAGUGAUGACAAUCUCGCAUAGAUGAGGUGACGAGCAUCUAUAUGGGUACUGUUGUUAUUGUGAAGGGUUAAAACCAAGGGAGAAGACAUAAGUACCCCUACACUAUGAUCGAAAUCCUAGAGACACCCCUUAACUAAACUAAGAUCCUUUUAUCCCCCUGAACUCAUUUUAUAUAUAAUUUUGUGCACCUUUUGGCCUAUGUACUCCGUGACUCCACGCAAUUGAGGCGCGUGGGAGAUACUUGGAUGCCACGUAAGCCAAAAAAGGUGUACAAAAUUACAAAAAAAACGAGUUCAAGAGGGUAAUAGGACCUUAGUUUAGUUAAGGUGUGUCUCUGAGAUUUGAGUCAUAGUCCAGGGGAUACUUAUACCUUUUCCCUAAAAACAACUAAUUGAUUGGUUUGCUUAGUUUUCUUGAUAUUUUUGAAAAGAACUACUCCACCUGUACCUAGUGGUCUUUUAUUAAUAAUCAAAUAAAAAUUCUCAAUUGGGAUAAGUACAAGCAAGGAGGGCUAGACCUUACCUUACCAAUCCCAAUAAGGUUGAGAACCUCUACUUUUAACAAUCAUGAAGAAAAUAAGAACUAGAGAUAAUUAGGUAGUUUAUGAUGGUAUUACAUGUGAGGAUGCUUAAGUAAUGCAAAAUUAUAAAUGCCAAGAAGAAAGUUGAGUUAUCAACCUCAAACUUCCUUUACAAAUGGAUGAACUAAAACAGAUUGAUUGCUCUUCUAAAGUAUCCUGGAGUAUUUUUCUCUUGUCUUCUUUAAAUCUGUCCAAUAGCUUUUGAUAGUUCAUCACUUUUUCUUCGGUUGAUUGGAUCUUGUUCACACUGUCAUGUGAUUCUGUUUUGCUAGUCGCAUCGGUAGGUGCCUUGGAACAAAUUCCUCACUCAUCUUACCAUCCCAACUAGGAGAAAUAUCUGCAUUCCUAAUUGCAUUUGCAAAACAAUGAUCCAACACAUCCUCUUCUUCACCUUCCUCAAAGAUGUCCUCAUCUUGUAGGUUAUCAAAUCUAUUUGGAGAGAAAUGACUACUUCCACCAACUUGUAAUUGUUUUUUAGUGUUAAUAGGUGUUAGAAAAGUAAACUUUUCAACAUCGAAACUCACCAAAUGAUCCCCUAAAAUUGCAGCAACAUCAGUUGAUGGCAAACCCUUUCCCAGGCAUUACUGAUUUGGCACUUCUAGGAACCAAAAUAGGAGCUGCAGGGCUCAAUUUGUUGUGCUUAGGAGGAGAACUCACCCUCUUUUCCUCUUCAUCUACUAUAUCUGCCCACCUCAAAGCACUUGUCGCACCUUGUUGUUCCUUUCUAGAAAUAACCAUUUCAUUUUUAGAGAAACUGAGAUCUUACCUUUCUAAACAUUUUGGUCAUUCCUUGUAGACAUUAGCUGCUGCCUCGAAUACCCAUGUUGCUCACCCAACAGUUCCAAUGAUAGGGAAGGAAUCUCUUGUAUUGAGGCAUUUAAGCUGACAAGUGGUAGAUUGUUCAAUGAUUAACCAUAGUAGCAAACUGAUUUUCCUUUAAUGUGUUAAUCAAUAACCAUUUUGAAGUAGUUGGAUUGAUCUAAUACACAAUAUUAUCCAAAAGAGCAUCAAAAGUGUUGAGACACGGAACCUCCUCUGGAACAAUUGCUCGAGCACUUGAGUUUUUAGCUUGACUGCCUACAAUUUGCUGCAUUGUGUUACGAAUUGGUGAACCAAUUCUAACACCUGGAGAGUUUUUCUUUGUCACCACAGUCCAAUUUGAAUUAUGUACCAAUUUCCCUUCAGUCGCAUUGUUAGAUUGAUGUACUUGUUGGCUGUUGGCCAGAAUUUUUUACAAAUGGCGCCGCAACUAAAGCUUGAUUAAUUACACUAGCAUCAGUCAAACUAGUGUGCUCUUCGCCUACACUUUCACCCAGCUUAGCAGCAACCUUAGCCAACUGAUCCCUUUGGCCAUCACCUAUUGAUUGAAACUGUGCAUUCCCAGAUUUUGAUACACAAUUUGCAUCUCCUGUAGGCUCGUUUCGCACAUCCCCAACACAUGUAGAAUCAGCAACAUUCAAAUUAGAAUUGCUGCACAAAAUUUUCACUCACUUGGACCACCAAAUCACGCUCAUCAUCGUCCCCAUUAACACCUCUGUGUCCGUAUUAUGUUUAGGUGAUGGGUGAGGGUGAGCUCACUCCUUACAUGAAUGUCUAUGCAGAUACCAUUGCAGAGGGUGAGACUAGUGGCUGGCGAGUUCAUUCGCGUGGAUUCUGUUAUUGAGGCUCACCUCACAUUAUUCAUGGAGGCUAGUGCUUCAGCUCUAUCUAAUUAUAGCUUAUGACUUCUUUCCUUGGGAUUUCCAUGCCCGACAGUUGAACUCAUGUAACUCUAAUAGAUGCUCCAUGGUCUUAUUGUGGGAUUUGGGCUAGAGAUAUAUUAUUUAAGUAAUCUUUUCCUUUCAGUAAUCGAUAAAUGAUUUUAGUUGGAUCAUUAUUUUUUUAAUGAGUAUUGAUGAGUUUUGGAGUUUCACAUAUUUUAUCUUUGUGCUUAAAUGAUUUGGUAAGUGUAUAGUGAAAUGCAUAGUGAAAAUGCUUUCCUCUUCUCCAAGCUUCAAGGACAAGACUUUCCUAUAUAUAAGUUGAUGUAGUCUUGAGGAUAAAUAACUAAGUGAAGUAGUAAAACUUGGCCAAUUUUCAAAUAACCUCUUCCG